CUAUGUGUUGUUGGGUAGGGGAGCGUUCUGUAAGCCUGUGAAGGUGGCCUGUGAGGGUUGCUGGAGGUAUCAGAAGUGCGAAUGCUGACAUAAGUAACGAUAAAGCGGGUGAAAAGCCCGCUCGCCGGAAGACCAAGGGUUCCUGUCCAACGUUAAUCGGGGCAGGGUGAGUCGACCCCUAAGGCGAGGCCGAAAGGCGUAGUCGAUGGGAAACAGGUUAAUAUUCCUGUACUUGGUGUUACUGCGAAGGGGGGACGGAGAAGGCUAUGUUGGCCGGGCGACGGUUGUCCCGGUUUAAGCGUGUAGGCUGGUUUUCCAGGCAAAUCCGGAAAACCAAGGCUGAGGCGUGAUGACGAGGCACUACGGUGCUGAAGCGACAAAUGCCCUGCUUCCAGGAAAAGCCUCUAAGCAUCAGGUAACAUCAAAUCGUACCCCAAACCGACACAGGUGGUCAGGUAGAGAAUACCAAGGCGCUUGAGAGAACUCGGGUGAAGGAACUAGGCAAAAUGGUGCCGUAACUUCGGGAGAAGGCACGCUGAUAUGUAGGUGAAGCGACUUGCUC
rnacentral:rRNA from 1 species